rnacentral:ncRNA from 1 species
UAGUCCAUUGGCAAUGGAGUUUGCCAUCCCAAACGGGAAAACCGCCGGACAACCUCUGGGCUGAUGACUCCUACCAACCU